rnacentral:rRNA from 1 species
AGAAUCAACGCUGGCGGCGUGCCUAACACAUGCAAGUCGCACGAGAAAGGGGACUUCGGUCCCUGAGUACAGUGGCGCACGGGUGAGUAACACGUGAAUAAUCUACCUCCGAGUGGGGAAUAACUGAGAGAAAUCUUAGCUAAUACCGCAUAACACUUACGAGUCAAAGCAGCAAUGCGCUUGGAGAGGAGUUCGCGGCAGAUUAGUUAGUUGGCGGGGUAAUGGCCCACCAAGACGAUGAUCUGUA